UGUUCAUAAAAAAUAUAACUUAAACCCCAUUCUGCAAAGGUAACAAAACGUUGUUAUAUAAAACCUUAUAAAUAUAACUUAAAAAAGCCAACAUACCUGUUUUUGAAAAUGUAUAAGCCUAACCAAACCAAUCCAUGUUCUGCCUAAUACUGUUUGUAACUUUGUAUAGAUACAUACUUCACAACGAGACAAAGGAAAUAUGGCGAUGGUAGUACCAGGGAGAUGAGAACAGAUGGAAUAUUUAUUGACCUGUAUGUAAAAGUACUUCAUGGAUUUAAGUUGUUUAAUGCUCUUUUAAGUUCAUAAUUGUUACUACUAAUAAAGAUUCACCAUGUCAGAUGCAACAGUGUUGCUAUGUGAUUUUCACCGCGAGCAAUCUUGGCAGAGAUGAACCAGAAGAGCGAGCAAUGGUGUGAGGAAUCCUAAAGAUGCUCUGGAAUUUCUCCGUAGCUUGGCAAAUGCUCACACAGAGAAUGAAUUUGAGGCGAUUUUGACUGGUCUUCAAGGGGGUGACAUGUUCCAGAAUUAUGUCACUAAAACAUGGCUUCCAUUGAAAAAGAGAUGGGCCUGGUGCUUUUAGAAAGGCACAAUGCAUAAUGUUUGGACAACGAAUGCAGUUGAAAGACAAAAUAGGGCCUUUAAGGCGUAUGUGAAAGAUAUGACCCAGAUCGGCCUGACAACCAUGUUGAGACAGCUGAUUGGUCAUUUUCUACAGGAUAAAUGGCAAAGGUCCAGACGAAGACAAGUAUCAGGGUACUCUGCAUUUAUACAUUUGCCCUAGUGAAGAUGGCAGAACGACCUACUCUAUAGACUUAGGCGAUCCAUGUUCUUGUAAAUGUCAAGACUUCCUGAAACACAAGAAACCCUGCAAGCACAUUUUCGCCAUCAUUUGGAACGGGAAGGAAUUUUCCUGGAAUCUUUUGCCAGAGUCAUU